UACCAGCACCCCGAGUGGUCGGGACGUUUAUUGGGCCUAAAGCAUCCGUAGCCGGUUCUACAAGUCUUCCGUUAAAUCCAACUGCUUAACAGGUGGGCUGCGGAAGAUACUAUAGAGCUAGGAGGCGGGAGAGGCAAGCGGUACUCGAUGGGUAGGGGUAAAAUCCGUUGAUCCAUUGAAGACCACCAGUGGCGAAGGCGGCUUGCCAGAACGCGCUCGACGGUGAGGGAUGAAAGCUGGGGGAGCAACCGGG
rnacentral:rRNA from 1 species